rnacentral:rRNA from 1 species
CAGGACGAACGCUGGCGGCGUGCCUAAUACAUGCAAGUCGAACGCUUCUUUUUCCACCGGAGCUUGCUCCACCGGAAAAAGAGGAGUGGCGAACGGGUGAGUAACACGUGGGUAACCUGCCCAUCAGAAGGGGAUAACACUUGGAAACAGGUGCUAAUACCGUAUAACAAUCRAAACCGCAUGGUUUUGAUUUGAAAGGCGCUUUCGGGUGUCGCUGAUGGAUGGACCCGCGGUGCAUUAGCUAGUUGGUGAGGUAACGGCUCACCAAGGCCACGAUGCAUAGCCGACCUGAGAGGGUGAUCGGCCACAUUGGGACUGAGACACGGCCCAAACUCCUACGGGAGGCAGCAGUAGGGAAUCUUCGGCAAUGGACGAAAGUCUGACCGAGCAACGCCGCGUGAGUGAAGAAGGUUUUCGGAUCGUAAAACUCUGUUGUUAGAGAAGAACAAGGAUGAGAGUAACUGUUCAUCCCUUGACGGUAUCUAACCAGAAAGCCACGGCUAACUACGUGCCAGCAGCCGCGGUAAUACGUAGGUGGCAAGCGUUGUCCGGAUUUAUUGGGCGUAAAGCGAGCGCAGGCGGUUUCUUAAGUCUGAUGUGAAAGCCCCCGGCUCAACCGGGGAGGGUCAUUGGAAACUGGGAGACUUGAGUGCAGAAGAGGAGAGUGGAAUUCCAUGUGUAGCGGUGAAAUGCGUAGAUAUAUGGAGGAACACCAGUGGCGAAGGCGGCUCUCUGGUCUGUAACUGACGCUGAGGCUCGAAAGCGUGGGGAGCAAACAGGAUUAGAU